CUGAAAAUAGUACCACAUAUACUAAAAUUGGAAUGAUACAGAGAAGAUUAGCAUGGUCCCUGUGCAAAAAUGACGCAGAUUCAUGAAGUGUUCCAUUAAAAA